rnacentral:misc_RNA from 1 species
GGGUUGUGACCGUGGCGGCAUGUGAGUUGUUAUCGAUGUGAGUUCUUCGUCAGGCUCCCUGCUUUUUUGCGGCCAACUGAUGAGUACCAUAUCUCUUUCAUACCUAUGCGAUGAAUUUCGCUAGGUUUAGUGUUGCCUUCAUGGAAAAUUGAUCGGGUUUGGAAUUGAAUGUUAGAUGAUGUUAUUUGUAUGUACCUCCUCUUAUCUAAAUGUUUAUGAGGGGGCGUACGAAGUUGGACGCUUCUUUGGUAUUUCGAUUUCUCCGGAAACCAUUUUUUAUCGUUGAGUGCCCCUAAUGUUGUACGGAUGAUGUGUAUGCUUAAGAUUCUAAGGAAGCCUUCCUUGUGUGCUUAAAAUUUUUAGCUCGGUUUUGUCCGCACUUUGUGAAAGACGCCUACACUGGUCGUGGACAUUCAUUCUUUUUUGAGGAGGAAUGCAAACGACAUUGUGUAGGUGCUAAAGAGGACGUGCUACCUGGUUGAUCCUGCCAGUAGUC